rnacentral:siRNA from 1 species
UGGAUACCUCAUUGAUCCAGUGGA